rnacentral:rRNA from 1 species
UACAGAGGUCUCAAGCGUUGUUCGGAUUCAUUGGGCGUAAAGGGCGCGUAGGCUGCGGGGCAAGUCGGGUGUGAAAUCUCAGAGCUCAACUCUGAAACUGCACUCGAUACUGCUUUGCUUGAGGACUGGAGAGGAGAUUGGAAUUCACGGUGUAGCAGUGAAAUGCGUAGAUAUCGUGAGGAAGACCAGUGGCGAAGGCGGAUCUC